rnacentral:lncRNA from 10 species
UCUGAAUGGUUCUGUGAUUUUUUUCACAGGAUUGCUUAGCCACACAGGUGUAGCAGUGGGGGAAGCAGAAAGCUAGAUGAAUCCAUGGAUGGAAUUUUUCAGGAGAGUAACAUAGGGCAUGAAGGCCCAUCAAUGAGAGAGACAACAUUUAGAUAGGAGUACUGGACAUUUGAAAAUUCUUACACCCUGUGAUGUGACAUGGAGAAGUGACCAACACAACUUUGCCAACUAUACUCCAUUCUUAGUAACUGCCGAUUAGGAAGGAUUUCUUUCUAAGUCUGUCACUAAUUCAACUGUUAUUCACAAGAGAAGUAGAGGCAAAUGAUAGCAGCUUGAUCGUUGAUUUUUGAUUUAGAUGAUCAAUGAUGUUCAGAAUAGUGUUUGUAUGUGUGAGCAUGGAUGUGUAUGUCGUGUGUGUGUCUGUGUAUGUGGUGUGUGUGUCUGUGUAUAUUGUGUGUGUGUGUGUGCAUGCGUGUGUGCAGGGUAGGUAUCACCACAUUCCCUGUGGUGGUGUGUCUCUUCUCUGGGAUUGGUUCUUCUAGAAUCUCCCACCUUUUAGAACCACUUUAAGAUAUUUAUUUAUUCUCUCCAACCAUCCUGGC